GCGGGCGUGGCGGAACUGGCAGACGCGGCAGACUUAGGAUCUGUUGGUUAACCCCAUGAGAGUUCGAGUCUCUCCGCCCGCACCA
rnacentral:tRNA from 1 species